rnacentral:rRNA from 1 species
UGGGACGACGAAUAUCCCGUAUCCAAGCUUAACUUGCGUUAGGUGGCCUUAAUACGAGUACCGGGUGCCGAAGGAAACGUGAACGGCCGCCUGGAAGUACGUCGCAAGCUGAAACUAAAGGAAUGGCGGGGAGCACACAACGGGUGGAGCCUGCGGUUAAUGGACUCAACGCCGGGCAGCUCACCGGAUAGGACAGCGGAAUGAUAGCCGGGCUGAAGACCUUGCUUGACCAGCUGAGAGGAGGUGCAUGGCCGUCGUCAGUUCGUACUGUGAAGCAUCCUGUUUAGUCAGGCAACGAGCGAGACCCACGCCAACAGUUGCUAGCAUGUUCUCCGGAAAAAAAAAGAAAAAUAAAGGGACCGCCUCUGCUAAAGAGGAGGAAGGAAUGGGCAACGGUAGGUCAGCAUGCCCCGAAUUAUCCGGGCUACACGCGGGCUACAAUGGUCAGGACAAUGGGAAACGGCACUGAAAAGUGUAGUCAAUCUCCUAAACCUGUCCCAAGUUCGGAUUGUGGGCUGCAACUCGCCCACAUGAAGCUGGAAUCCGUAGUAAUCGCGUUUCAAAAUAGCGCGGUGAAUAAGU